GCUGAUUCGCACCCAAUAACGGAGAUUGCGACCUGCUAAAUGGAAAUCGGCCCCGAGUAACCUCUAUGCUCUCUUAACAGUACUAAUAAUACGUUCAACAAGUGUCAAGAGCUGUUCUUCUUGAAGUUGACUUGACCACAUGUUCAGUAACAAACAACAGCCGAUGUCUCGAUUUUACCAUGCUCAUGGUAAAAAUAAAAACAGAUAAUGUGUAGUCUUAACUACUGUGCAUUUAUGUCCAUAACUCAAGCUCACUCCCAUCGAAGGACGCCAUUUGUGUGCUGUGAUUCAGUUACAAGAAAUACUUAAGGAUCCAGAAUUUGAUGUUCUAGAUUGAUUCUUCGGAUCGGUAUUUAUGUUUUGGCAGCCCCAGUGAAUCAUCCACCAGGAGAAUAAGCUGAUGGUAAUCAAAAUCAACGAGCCAGAGUAGUUCUCUUCAAGGCAGACCAUAUUCGAUAUUAGGAAUUUCUGAACAUACAACAGCCAGUCGCACCAAAUGAAGGUCAGCCAAGUAUCAGUGUCGGUGACCAUGGUUAGCGCUUUAUCAAUGCUCUUUGGAUCUCCUGGACCAGUACGCACCACCGAAAUUCCACCGUCGCACCGUAACAUCGAUACCGUCCGUCGUAUUCCAUUCCCUGACUUACACAAAUUGGCAAAUACCUACGCAACAUGCGUAGAACUUGGCAUCGAAAUUGAUGAUUUUCAAUAAAAUUACCAUGCUCUUUUAUUGAAAUUAA